rnacentral:rRNA from 1 species
UACGUAGGGCGCAAGCGUUGUCCGGAAUUAUUGGGCGUAAAGGGAGUGUAGGCGGUUUGAAAAGUCUUCUGUGAAAUCUACGGGCUUACCCUGUAACGUGCAGAGGAAACUGUCAGGCUUGAGUAUCGGAGAGGACAGGGGAAUACCCAGUGUAGAGGUGAAAUUCGUAGAGAUUGGGUGGAACACCAGUGGCGAAGGCGCCUGUCUGGCUGAUAACUGACGCUGAGACUCGAAAGCAUGGGGAGCAAACAGG